AUUUCUUCAGUCGAUAAUAAAAUAUUUAACGGCCUUUUAAAAUUAACAGCACUAUAUCUUCAUGAUAAUCACCUGCAAGCAAUUCCUGCUGGUUGCUUUAAAGAACUGAAAACGUUGCAGUACUUAGAUUUGAGAGUCAAUAUUAUUACUGAAAUUGGGCCAAAUGUCGUCCGUGACGAUUUUAACUAUUCCAAUUUCAAAAUACAGCCGUCUACGAGGUUUCAAUGCUCCUCAAGAAAAAUCUACCAAUGCAAACUUAAUUUUACUGAGAGCAACUGCACCCACGAUGGAGAUUUAGUAGAGUAUAAAGGUUUUAGUAAGGAAAACUGUAACCAAAAUACUAUCCUACUCACGAUCCCACCAAUUUCUGCGCCAAAAAAUACUUCAGAAUAUAUUCAGGUCAAUACCAACAAAAGCAUUUCAGGAGUCGUUCAGUCUAUAGAUGGUAGUAAGUCUUUAAAGACGCCUCAAAGUCCGGAAAUAAAGAAGGUUUUAGUUCCGAAAAACUCUUUAGAAACACUUCAGUCUUCUGUAAAUAAAAACAUUUCCGAAAAUAACGCAAAGUCUAUAAUUGCUCUCCGGCCCGCUGAGAAAGAGAAUGUUCAAAAAGUUACUAUAAAAACUAACACGCCCGAGUUACCACAGUCUUCUAUCCAAAAAAACUUAUUGAAUGAAAAUCAAGUGAAAAGAAACAAUACAAAUAUCACGCAGGAACCGAAAAAGAUUGGAAAGCUUGAAAUCUAUUGAUAAAAAAAGCAAUUCAAA